rnacentral:tRNA from 1 species
GUGGGUAGAUCUCAGUGCUAAAGCAAGUGCUUAGCAUGCAUGAGAUCCUGGGUUCAAUCCCCAGUACCUCCA